UCCUACGGGGGGGCAGCAGUGGGGGAUAUUGCACAAUGGGGGCAACCCUGAUGCAGCGACGCCGCGUGAGCGAUGGAGUACUUCGGUAUGUAAAGCUCUGUCAGCAGGGAAGAGAAUGACGGUACCUGACCAAGAAGCCCCGGCUAAAUACGUGCCAGCAGCCGCGGUAAUACGUAGGGGGCGAGCGUCGUCCGGAAUCACUGGGCGUAAAGGGCGCGUAGGCGGUAAUAUAAGUCAGAUGUGAAAGGUGGGGGCUCAACCCCUAGAGUGCAACUGAUACUGUAUAACUUGAGUGUGAGAGAGGG
rnacentral:rRNA from 1 species